rnacentral:rRNA from 1 species
CCUACGGGAGGCAGCAGUGGGGAAUAUUGCACAAUGGGCGAAAGCCUGAUGCAGCCAUGCCGCGUGUGUGAAGAAGGCCUUCGGGUUGUAAAGCACUUUCAGCGAGGAGGAAAGGUUAGUCGUUAAUAUCGGCUAGCUGUGACGUUACUCGCAGAAGAAGCACCGGCUAACUUCGUGCCAGCAGCCGCGGUAAUACGAGGGGUGCAAGCGUUAAUCGGAAUUACUGGGCGUAAAGCGUUCGUAGGCGGUUAUUUAAGCAAGAUGUGAAAGCCCUGGGCUCAACCUGGGAACUGCAUUUUGAACUGGCAAGCUAGAGUUUUGUAGAGGGUAGUGGAAUUUCCAGUGUAGCGGUGAAAUGCGUAGAGAUUGGAAGGAACAUCAGUGGCGAAGGCGGCUACCUGGACAAAGACUGACACUGAGGCACGAAAGCGUGGGGAGCAAACAGGAUUAGAUACCCUGGUAGUCCACGCCGUAAACGAUGUCAACCAGCCGUCUGUAGACUUGAUCUGUGGGUGGCGUAGCUAACGCGCUAAGUUGACCGCCUGGGGAGUACGGCCGCAAGGUUAAAACUCAAAGGANAUUGACGGGG